GAGUUUGAUCCUGGCUCAGAACGAACGCUGGCGGCGUGGAUAAGACAUGCAAGUCGAACGGGUUUACUUCUGUAGCAAUACAGGAGUGAGCUAGUGGCGUAAGGGUGCGUAACACGUGGGCAACCUGCCCGGAAAUGGGGGAUAGCCCGCCGAAAGGCGGAUUAAUACCGCAUGUGGCUACCGGUGACAUCACUGGGACGCCAAAGAUGGAGCAAUCUAUCGUUUCCGGAUGGGCCCGCGGCCUAUCAGCUAGUUGGUGUGGGUAACGGCCCACCAAGGCGAUGACGGGUAGCUGGUCUGAGAGGACGACCAGCCACACUGGAACUGAGACACGGUCCAGACACCUACGGGUGGCAGCAGUCGAGAAUUUUUCUCAAUGGGGGAAACCCUGAAGGAGCGACGCCGCGUGGAGGAUGAAGGUCUUCGGAUUGUAAACUCCUGUCAUUGGUGAACAAGGUUCUGCGGUUAACUGCCGUGGGAUUUGAUAGUAGCCGAAGAGGAAGAGACGGCUAACUCUGUGCCAGCAGCCGCGGUAAUACAGAGGUCUCAAGCGUUGUUCGGAUUCAUUGGGCGUAAAGGGUGCGUAGGCGGCGGGGCAAGUCUGAUGUGAAAUCCCGGGGCUCAACCCCGGAACUGCACUGGAUACUGCCUUGCUUGAGUACUGGAGAGGAGACUGGAAUUUACGGUGUAGCAGUGAAAUGCGUAGAUAUCGUAAGGAAGGCCAGCGGCGAAGGCGAGUCUCUGGACAGUUACUGACGCUGAGGCACGAAGGCCAGGGGAGCAAACGGGAUUAGAUACCCCGGUAGUCCUGGCAGUAAACGGUGCGCGUUUGGUGUGGGGGGAUUCGACCCCUUCCGUGCCGAAGCUAACGCGAUAAACGCGCCGCCUGGGGAGUACGGUCGCAAGAUUAAAACUCAAAGAAAUUGACGGGGGCCCGCACAAGCGGUGGAGUAUGUGGCUUAAUUCGAUGCAACGCGAAGAACCUUACCUGGGCUUGACAUGCAUCUCUAAGUCGGUGAAAGCCGGCGAGUCCCGCAAGGGACAAUUUGCACAGGUGCUGCAUGGCUGUCGUCAGCUCGUGUCGUGAGAUGUUGGGUUAAGUCCCGCAACGAGCGCAACCC
rnacentral:rRNA from 1 species